UGACCGGCCCGACGUCGUAAAACUACGGGCGCCUAAGUGAUGCAACCACGUAAAACGCGUA
rnacentral:ncRNA from 1 species